UGUGAUCAUUGAUAGAUAAUUUGUCCAAGUAUUAUACAUUUGUGGUAUGUGUUUAAUCUAAAUCCAGAACAACUUUAUUCAAACAUUCUUUCACUAAAAGCACAAAAAGGAAAACUAUCAUAAUGCAAAGACAAUAAUCCCUGUCAAAAGUGGUCGGACAGUUUCGGCUUUGUUGAUCGUGUUUUGCUUAUAAUUUGUUCACUUAGCAGUUUCUAUAUCAUAUUCAAAAUCAAACACAGAUAAUAAUCAGAAUGAUUGUUUAAGGGUUGUACCUCCUAUAAAAGUCAACUUAUAAUUUCGGCUGUGUUGACCAAUUUAUAGUCAUCGUUCUUAUGUUCACCAUAACCUCACAAACAUUACAAAAGUAUUUUCAACAAUACCCAGAUGGGUAUAGUUUUGUUUAAUUGUGUCAAUUUUUUUUCUCGGCCAAAUUAUUGAUUAUUAAUCUAAGAGGUAUCAUAUCUUUCAUUUUCAUAUGAUGGUGUUGAGUUAAUAAUUGAUUUGGUUCUUUUUUUACUUUAAAAGAAGUGGUUUUACAGUCGUAGCCUUCAUAUCGCAAAUAGUAAAAUUAAAGUCCGAUCUACAUGUACUAUGUUGACGUGAUGUAUAUUUGGAUCAUUUCUCAUCAAACAAGAAAAUAUUCAUUAGCCUGAUAAUAUUAUAAAACGUAUACCAUACAUAAAAAAUAAAAAUUGUUGUACGGUUAAAGUGAAAAGUAUAGUGGGCAUAUGAAUGUUUAUUUUAUCAUGGCAUAGUACUUAUACUGUUUGUAUAAUUACUUCCUUAUAUAGUGAUAACGUCUAUUGUGUAAUAUCCACAAUCGUAUGAAGGUUCAGGUCAUUAAAUCGGUGUUAAAUAUCAAACAAUGAUCACACUUCACAUUUUGAAUAAACUUUUUUUUUUUUUUAAUGAAAAUGUUUAUUCAUAUUUUCCUCUUGUCAUUUUAAAUUUUAGUAUUGACAUAUAAUCAUACCCAAGAAAGUUCAUUGUAGAAUGUAAUCUCCCUCUAAAAAGGAACACUCAUAAUAUAACAAAUCUUCAAAAAUUUAGAAAUUCAGUGUAUUUACAUGUAUUGACAAUAAAGCCCUUUAAAGGGGCACUAGCUGUCAAUUGUAAGUAUUACAUACUUAAACGUAUAUCCAAAUACAAUAAGUCUGAAAUAAACAGUUAAAAAAUGCAUGUACAUGAUUAAUUAUAUAAGAAUUAAGUGUGUUUUUUAGUCCAGACGCCAUAUGAUAACCUACAGAGUUGUAAUCCGAUGGUCACACAACCCGAUUUAAACAUCAACAUAAAAAGAAAAACCUUAGCGACGUCGUUUAGUAUCUAGGUCUAUGUUAUUUCAUGUUAUUUGUUAAAAUAUAAGUUAAUUAACGCCUUUACCUGUACAAAAAUAAUGUUUGUGGUCUGAAUCAGUUCACAAAAAUGUUCACCUUUUUUCACAUUCAAUGUUGACAAUCUUUCAUCUUUUUUAAAUGGCUGAACGCGAAUAAUGUAUGCGUAACCAAUCUCUAGCUAAUGAAUUAAAUUGAAGGUCACAUAAAUACAGAUUUAAUUUUGUCGAAUUAUUUACUUGCAAACGAAUAACUCGUUAGCAAUAUUAUUUUGUUUACUUUGACAAAAUUUAACCAAGUUGGCUGUUUAAAACUCAUUUUUAUUUCAUUAUUUAACUUUUUAAAAGAUUGAACCAAACGAAAUAAUAUUUUAUUUUUUUCAUAUCUCGUAACUAUUGCCCCAUUAAGAGCAUACACUAUAUUAGUGUUAAUUUAUGUCAACACGAGUGGUAAAGUGAUAUGCAUACACUCAAAACUGUAAUGAUUUUGCUAUAAAAAUACGAGAUAAAAUUCGUAAAUGAAAAGUUAAAAGUUAUAAUAUAAGUUAUCUCGGUAUACAAGUGAAUUCUUAAAAAAUAAUCUACAGUAAUAAAAUAGACAGAGGAAGAUGUUAGGGCUAUUCAAUUUAUUAUCUAAAAGUGAAACAUUUCAAGAUUUUAAUCUCAUCUCUUUCAGUAGUUAAUUUUAUGUUAAUUUUUCAAACUGUUAGUUUUUCUAUAAAUCUGUUCUUCUAAUUAGAAUAAUUUCAAACUGUUUGAAAAUGUGUAAGAUGUCUUUGUCAUUUUGUAUUUAUUAACAAUUGUGUGUAUUUUUAAUGUACGCAAAUGAGUCAUUCAAACCAAAAUAGUCAUACUUUUAUUGACAAUAUAUCUAUAUUUUAUAAUUCAACUGUGACAUGCAAUGUUUUAUUACCAGGAUUACAUAUAAUUGAGAUUAGAUGAAAUGGACCAGUCUAGUAGGGCAGAAAAUUGUAACCAAACAGUAGGGAGAGUAAAUAAUGUUACGAGUAGUGAAGACGAAACUGACUCAGAUGAGGAUUUAGAAGAGAUAAAAAGCGAUGAUGAAAACUUGGCUUCUCCUUUCAACGAACCAAACAUCGUUUUGGUAUUUGACAAAAGAAAGCUCUUUCUACAAAAGGAGCACCUUAUAGCCGUUUCGCCUGUGUUUGAGACAAUAGAGAGGUUUAGCAUCGGAACUUGUACGUGUGCGUGUACGUGUGGCUAGGGAAACCACCCAAUUUCCUGCGUAUUACGUCAUUGAUUUUGCCUGGCGGUGAAACGUACAAGUCAGGGACAACUUGUAAAGCGGCG
rnacentral:lncRNA from 1 species